CUUUGUUGAGAACUUAGAAUAACAUCGAGGUAAGGGGUAAAACAGGAACUAUGCUAGUUACUGUACAGGUUUUUGAAUCCAUUUGUUCCACUCCAUCCUGUUACUGAUGUGUUUUUGUGUUUUUCCUUUUUGUUGUAUCCUUAAAGGAACGCUAUAGUCACCUAAAUUACCUUAGCUAAAUAAAGCAGUUUUAGUGUAUAGAUCAUUCCCCUGCAAUUUCACUGCUCAAUUCACUGUCAUUUAGGAGUUAAAUCACUUUGUUUCUGUUUAUGCAGCCCUAGCCACACCUCCCCUGGCUAUGAUUGACAGAGCCUGCAUGAAAAAAAAACUGGUUUCACUUUCAAACAGAUGUAAUUUACCUUAAAUAAUUGUAUCUCAAUCUCUAAAUUGAACUUUAAUCACAUACAGGAGGCUCUUGCAGGGUCUAGCAAGCUAUUAACAUAGCAGGGGAUAAGAAAAUCUUAAUUAAACAGAACUUGCAAUAAAGAAAGCCUAAAUAGGGCUCUGUUUACAGGAAGUGUUUAUGGAAGGCUGUGCAAGUCACAUGCAGGGAGGUGUGACUAGGGUUCAUAAACAAAGGGAUUUAACUCCUAAAUGGCAGAGGAUUGAGCAGUGAGGCUGCAGGGGCAUGUUCUAUACACCAAAACUGCUUCAUUAAGCUAAAGUUGUUCAGGUGACUAUAAUGUCCCUUUAAAGACUUUAUUAGUUGUAAGAAGUGUUGUGCUCCCCUGCUGGGAAGUGGGCACAUCUUACAGAGGUGGAAUUUGGAUCCAAUGUCCGUUGUGCAGUUUGUAUUUAUGUCCAGUACUAAAGGAGCUGACUUAAUAUUGGCCAUUGAUAGUCCACAGGUGGUAUUUGUUCUGAAUGGGAGGAGGACAAAACAAACACUAGAAGGACAUUUUGUAGUUUUAUUUACAUAGGAAAAAGAAACAGAUUUGCCAAGCUCUCUUUGUUCUCAUAUCAUCCAGUGAGGUGGGUGAAUAUAUUCUUGAAUCAAAAUCAUGAGAAAUCUUCAAAUAUCAUCGAGAAGAGAAUCUGGAUCUAUUCUUUCAUUUCUUCUAAAGUUACUAUAGAACCAGACAAGCUUCUAGGAAGGGGCUUGGUGGAGGGGCAUCAAAAGGCCUUAAAGUUUGAUAUUAGCCGUUACAGUCUAACUAAUAUAGUGUUUGGCAAUUGACAUAUCUGAUUUAAGUGUCAAAAUAAUGUGUUUUCCUUUUUUCUUACAGCCUUUGGAAACUGUUGAACAGAGAUAGGAUGCAAUGAAUGGACAACUGGUGGAACUUUGCCCUUUUCAACGUUACAGGGAGUAGCUGACUCAUAUCAUCAGUGGAGGUUACCCUGGGUAUAUUUAUGUGUGUUUUAUAAAAAGUAAGCCAUCUAAAACAUGACACAGUAUAUCAGUUAGGUUGAAUGUUGUUUUAGUUCAUUAUGUGUCAAGUAAUGAAAAAUGCCCAAAAUGAACAUUAACAACCAUAUAAAAAAUUUAAACCACCAUAAAUAUUUGGUAACAUAUAAGGCAAAGUUAUCAACAGCAAUUUAGAUUUAUAGUGCUCUAAAUGAAGUUAUCAAGUUGAAAUCAACGCAAUGCCCCUUAUUUAGCACUUUGUUCUAUAAUUCUGUUUCUCAUCUGUUUUUAAAUAAUAACGGCAUAGAUAUGAAAAGGUAUAGACCUAAGUACUAAGAUAUUACUGAUCCUGGCGAUAAAGAGUCACUGGUUGAUGAGCCGACAGUGAGUGUAGGAACCAUGGGAUAUAGGAUAUCUCUAGAAGCCAGGAGAGGGUUACAUCGACAAAACCAAAAAUGAUUUAACUAAUGAUUUGAUUUAAUUGAGCAGUGAAAUUAC